ACGUACACGACCGGUAUGUCGAGCUAUACAAUAGCGCAGCCGGCCGAGAGCAAUGCAAGCUAGUACAAAUUUAAGAGGCGAGCUUGAGUGCAGGCACAAAUAGAUCGAGAGCAGCACACAAGGAAAAAAAGGAAAAAAAUAUAUAAUGAAGGCGCCUCCCUCGUUGCUGGCUCUUCGGUGCUUGGCGAUCUUGGCCGCGGUGUUCAUCAUCAUUCUCAUCAUGCAUGUUGAGCCUGCGCAAGCAGGGUCGAGGCAGCCGACGAGCACACCUCCGUCUCCACAAGGACAUCCCGAGAGGAAGUCACAUUGCUGCAAAUAAACAUAGGUGAAACAGAGACACAGAGCAGCAAUAUAAUACGAUUAGGGUUAAUUCUGAUCCAUAUGACACUAGAAAAACUUGAUCGAACUCCCUUAUGUGUGCUAUUAUCCAAAAAGACUUGAUCUUCCUUAUAUGUGUGCUAUUAUCCAAAAUCUUCAAGGCCCUUGUGUGCCACUGGAUCAAAUUUUGAUCCCUGCUUAUGUGCCAUUUUCUGUUGUAAUAGAUGUUUAUAUCCAUGAAAUAAUCAAUCGGGAGUUCGAGACUUCUCCACCUCGAUCGUCGUCUGCUUCAGUA